rnacentral:rRNA from 1 species
CAAUAGCGUAUAUUAAAGUUGUUGCAGUUAAAAAGCUCGUAGUUGGAUUUGUGGCGUACGGUGUGUUCCGGGCACUUGUUGUCAGAGUAACCUGCUGUUGCCAUCCUUGGGUGGAACCUGUGUGGCAUUAGGUUGUCGUGCAGGGGAUGCCCAUCAUUUACUGUGAAAAAAUUAGAGUGUUCAAAGCAGGCUUAUGCCGUUGAAUAUAUUAGCAUGGAAUAAUGAGAUAGGACUUUUUUGCUAUUUUGUUGGUUUGCGCAAAGAGGUAAUGAUUAAUAGGGACAGUUGGGGGUAUUCGUAUUCCAUUGUCAGAGGUGAAAUUCUUGGAUUUUUGGAAGACGAACUACUGCGAAAGCAUUUACCAAGGAUGUUUUCAUUAA